CUAAGCCAUGCGAGUCGAGAGGUGCAAGACCUCGGCAUACUGCUCAGUAACACGUGGACAACCUAACCUAUGGAGGGGGAUAACCCCGGGAAACUGGGGAUAAUACCCCAUAGACUAUGGAUGCUGGAAUGCUCUGUAGUUGAAAGGUCCGCCGCCAUAGGAUGGGUCUGCGGCCGAUUAGGUUGUUGUUGGGGUAACGGCCCAACAAGCCUGUAAUCGGUACGGGUUGUGGGAGCAAGAGCCCGGAGAUGGAUUCUGAGACACGAAUCCAGGCCCUACGGGGCGCAGCAGGCGCGAAAACUUUACAAUGCGGGAAACCGUGAUAAGGGAACUCCGAGUGCCCGUAAAAUCGGGCUGUCCAUCUGUUUAAAUAACAGGUGAAGAAAGGGCCGGGCAAGACCGGUGCCAGCCGCCGCGGUAAUACCGGCGGCUCGAGUGGUGGCCACUAUUACUGGGCUUAAAGCGUUCGUAGCUGGUUUGUUAAGUCUCUGGGGAAAUCUGCCGGCUCAACCGGCAGGCGUUCCAGGGAUACUGGCAGACUAGGGACCGGGAGAGGUGAGGGGUACUCCAGGGGUAGGAGUGAAAUCCUGUAAUCCUUGGGGGACCACCUGUGGCGAAGGCGCCUCACCAGAACGGCUCCGACAGUGAGGGACGAAAGCUGGGGGAGCAAACCGGAUUAGAUACCCGGGUAGUCCCAGCCGUAAACGAUGCGCGUUAGGUGUAUCGGUGACCACGAGUCACCGAGGUGCCGAAGAGAAAUCGUGAAACGUGCCGCCUGGGAAGUACGGUCGCAAGGCUGAAACUUAAAGGAAUUGGCGGGGGAGCACCACAACAGGUGGAGCCUGCGGUUUAAUCGGACUCAACGCCGGAAAUCUCACCGGAUAAGACAGCUGGAUGAUAGUCGGGCUGAAGACUCUACUUGACUAGCUGAGAGGUGGUGCAUGGCCA
rnacentral:rRNA from 1 species